GACAAACGCUGGCGGCGUGCCUAAUACAUGCAAGUCGAGCGCAGGAAACUGACGGAACUCUUCGGAGGGAAGGCAGUGGAAUGAGCGGCGGACGGGUGAGUAACACGUAAGGAACCUGCCUCAAGGAUUGGGAUAACUCCGAGAAAUCGGAGCUAAUACCGGAUAGUUCAUCGGACCGCAUGGUCCGCUGAUGAAAGGCGCUCCGGCGUCACCUUGAGAUGGCCUUGCGGUGCAUUAGCUAGUUGGUGGGGUAACGGCCCACCAAGGCGACGAUGCAUAGCCGACCUGAGAGGGUGAUCGGCCACACUGGGACUGAGACACGGCCCAGACUCCUACGGGAGGCAGCAGUAGGGAAUCUUCCACAAUGGACGAAAGUCUGAUGGAGCAACGCCGCGUGAGUGAUGAAGGUUCUCGGAUCGUAAAACUCUGUUGUAAGGGAAGAACACGUACGAGAGGGAAUGCUCGUACCUUGACGGUACCUUACGAGAAAGCCACGGCUAACUACGUGCCAGCAGCCGCAGUAA
rnacentral:rRNA from 1 species